AUGAACGCUGGCGGCGUGCCUAAUACAUGCAAGUCGCGCGAACAGGCGAGGAGCUUGCUCCUCUGACGUUAGCGGCGGACGGGUGAGUAACACGUGGAUAACCUACCUAUAAGACUGGGAUAACUUCGGGAAACCGGAGCUAAUACCGGAUAAUAUAUUGAACCGCAUGGUUCAAUAGUGAAAGACGGUUUUGCUGUCACUUAUAGAUGGAUCCGCGCCGCAUUAGCUAGUUGGUAAGGUAACGGCUUACCAAGGCAACGAUGCGUAGCCGACCUGAGAGGGUGAUCGGCCACACUGGAACUGAGACACGGUCCAGACUCCUACGGGAGGCAGCAGUAGGGAAUCUUCCGCAAUGGGCGAAAGCCUGACGGAGCAACGCCGCGUGAGUGAUGAAGGUCUUCGGAUCGUAAAACUCUGUUAUUAGGGAAGAACAAAUGUGUAAGUAACUAUGCACGUCUUGACGGCACCUAAUCAGAAAGCCACGGCUAACUACGUG
rnacentral:rRNA from 1 species